rnacentral:sRNA from 22 species
UGCCCUGUUAUGGUGUGGAUCAGGUGAAAGCCCCAAGGCGCUUACGCGAGCGCGGGACACCUAAGACAGGGCAUU